UAGUGGCGGGGUAACGGCCCACCAAGACAACGAUGGAUAGGGGUUCUGAGAGGAAGGUCCCCCACAUUGGAACUGAGACACGGUCCAAACUCCUACGGGAGGCAGCAG
rnacentral:rRNA from 1 species